AGGACUAACGCUGGCGGCGUGCCUAACACAUGCAAGUCGAACGAGAGUAGCAAUACUCUAGUAGCAGACGGGUGAGUAACACGUGGUCAACCUACCUCUAUGUGGGGGAUAACUAGCCGAAAGGUUAGCUAAUACCGCAUACGAUCGUCGAGCGGCAUCGCUUGACGAUGAAAGGAGCAAUCCGCAGAGAGACGGGACCGCGUCCCAUUAGCUAGUUGGUGGGGUAAUGGCCUACCAAGGCGACGAUGGGUAGCUGGCUUGAGAGAGCGACCAGCCACACUGGGACUGAGACACGGCCCAGACUCCUACGGGAGGCAGCAGUGAGGAAUUUUCCGCAAUGGGCGAAAGCCUGACGGAGCGACGCCGCGUGUGGGAAGAAGGCCUUCGGGUCGUAACCACUGUCGAAGGGGAGAUAUGACGGUACCCUUGGAGGAAGCCCCGGCUAACUACGUGCCAGCAGCCGC
rnacentral:rRNA from 1 species